UAGCUGAAAGAACUGCUGACAAAGCAUC
rnacentral:piRNA from 1 species